AUUGAACGCUGGCGGCAUGCUUUACACAUGCAAGUCGAACGGCAGCACAGGGAGCUUGCUCCUGGGUGGCGAGUGGCGCACGGGUGAGUAAUACAUCGGAACGUGUCCUAUUGUGGGGGAUAACUGAUCGAAAGAUCAGCUAAUACCGCAUAAGACCUGAGGGUGGAAGUGGGGGAUCGCAAGACCUCACGCGAUUGGAGCGGCCGAUGCCUGAUUAGCUAGUUGGUGAGGUAAAGGCUCACCAAGGCGACGAUCGGUAGCUGGUCUGAGAGGACGACCAGCCACACUGGGACGGAGACACGGCCCAGACUCCUACGGGAGGCAGCAGUGGGGAAUUUUGGACAGUGGGGGCAACCCUGAUCCAGCCAUGCCGCGUGCAGGAUGAAGGUCUUCGGAUUGUAAACUGCUUUUGUCAGGGAAGAAAAGGUCUGUGUUAAUACCAUAGACUGCUGACGGUACCUGAAGAAUAAGCACCGGCUAACUACGUGCCAGCCGCCGCCGUAA
rnacentral:rRNA from 1 species